CAAUUGUUUCUUCAUUUCUCACUCAAUUUUCUGCACCUGUAGGUAGCUAAGUCUUACUAUAUUCGAGUCAAAUAGGCCAAGUAAGUCAGAUGGACUAGUCGGAUCAAUGGUCCAAGCAAGCAAGAUUGGACCAGUGUUAACCGAACAAAUUGGCAAUCUGAAUCCACAUUGCUACCCACUUGACAAAUAUGACUAACCACCAAAUGCGUCGAAGACGACUAAUCAUCAACCAUUUAGUCACCAAUACCACUCGAACUAUUGAUCAAGCACAAAAACUAAACAUAACACAUCUUGUCGAGAAGGUAUAUGUCUUUAUUAAAGUUUUAGCCUUAGGUGUUUGUCUAACAUGCAAGUCCUAAAUAGACAAUAACAAGGAAUCAAUAUUGUGGACAGACAGGUAUCAAUGUCUCUCACUAAAGGGAAGGCAACUCUCAAAGUCUAUGCACAUAAGAAAUGUAUUUUACCUUUUGGAUCUGAGUAAGUUUUUCUCUAUGAUCUCGACCUUAUCCUGUUUUAUCAUUGAACAACUUAUGCAUGGUACAAUUAUUAUGAUUUCGAUAUCUGAGUUGAUAUGCUUUUGGAAGGCAGAUUAUGAGCAGCUGCCUGCCCCACUGGAAACGCUUGUUGCAGGCAUUUACUAAGAUGGCAAGGAGUAAACAACAGAGACUCAUGUCGUUGAUGCUUGUUUUCUUCAGGCUUUGAUGGCAAAGUGUCGUAGGAAUGUCGAUGCAAAGAUGCUGAUCAUCGAGAACAAUCCUGAAGCUGUGUAUGUUAGAGUUGAGGCUCACCUUCAUCAGCAGUUGGGGUGAGAGGUAUCAAUGUCUCUCACUAAAAGAGAAGGCAACUCUCAAAGUCUAUGCACAUAAGAAAUGUAUUUUACAUUUUGGAUCUGAAUUAUGAGCAGCUUCUGCCCCACUGGAAACGCUUGUUGCAGGCAUUUACUAAGAUGGCAAGGAGUAAACAACAGACUCAUGUCGUUUGAUGCUUGUUUUCUUCAGGCUUUGAUGGCAAAGUGUCAUAGGAAUGUCGAUGCAAAACUGCUGAGAGUUGAGGCUCACUUCAUCAGCAGUUGGGGUGAGAGGUGAGCUUUUCUGGUCCUUCCUACUUAAUUGAAGCUUGCAUUUCUUCGCAACAACAUAAGAUUCUACUAGUUAACAACGUCGCAGACAGAAGAAUUGUCGUAAAAAAUCAAAGCGUAAAGUAAUGAUUUUGAUUUAUCAUUUA